rnacentral:rRNA from 1 species
AUUGAACGCUGGCGGCAGGCUUAACACAUGCAAGUCGAACGAGUGGCGGACGGGUGAGUAAUGCUUGGGAAUCUAGCUUAUGGAGGGGGAUAACUACGGGAAACUGUAGCUAAUACCGCGUACCAUAGGAUGAGCCCAAGUGGGAUUAGGUAGUUGGUGAGGUAAAGGCUCACCAAGCCGACGAUCUCUCGCUGGUCUGAGAGGAUGACCAGACACACGGGGACCGAGAAACGGCCCAGAAUCCGACUGGAGGAAGGAGUGGGGAAUAUUGCGCAAUGGGGGCAACCUGACGCGACCAUGCCGCGUGAAAGAAGAAGGCCUUGGGGUUGUAAAGUUCUUGCGGGAGCGAGGCGUUAACUACAGAAGAAGCAACGGGUAACUCCGUGCCAGCCGCCGCGGUAAUUC